rnacentral:rRNA from 1 species
UGCAAGUCGAGCGGGGUGAUGGUGCUUGCACUAUCACCUAGCGGCGGACGGGUGAGUAAUGCUUAGGAAUCUGCCUAUUAGUGGGGGACAACAUUUCGAAAGGAAUGCUAAUACCGCAUACGUCCUACGGGAGAAAGCAGGGGAUCUUCGGACCUUGCGCUAUAGAUGAGCCUAAGUCGGAUUAGCUAGUUGGUGGGGUAAAGGCCUACCAAGGCGACGAUCUGUAGCGGGUCUGAGAGGAUGAUCCGCCACACUGGGACUGAGACACGGCCCAGACUCCUACGGGAGGCAGCAGUGGGGAAUAAUGGACAAUGGGCGCAAGCCUGAUCCAGCCAUGCCGCGUGUGUGAAGAAGGCCUUAUUGUUGUAAAGCACUUUAAGCGAGGAGGAGGCUACUUUAGAUAAUACCUAGAGAUAGUGGACGUUACUCGCAGAAUAAGCACCGGCUAACUCUGUGCCAGCAGCCGCGGUAAUACAGAGGGUGCAAGCGUUAAUCGGAUUUACUGGGCGUAAAGCGCGCGUAGGCGGCUAAUUAAGUCAAAUGUGAAAUCCCCGAGCUUAACUUGGGAAUUGCAUUCGAUACUUGUUAGCUAGAGUGUGGGAGAGGAUGGUAGAAUUCCAGGUGUAGCGGUGAAAUGCGUAGAGAUCUGGAGGAAUACCGAUGGCGAAGGCAGCCAUCUGGCCUAACACU